GACGAACGCUGGCGGCGUGCUUAACACAUGCAAGUCGAACGGAAAGGCCCUGCUUGUGUGGUGUGCUCGAGUGGCGAACGGGUGUGUAACACGUGAGUAACCUGCCCGUGACUUUGGUAUAACUUCGGGAAACUGGGGCUAAUACCGGAUAGGCGCUCCUGCUGCAUGGUGGGGGUGGGAAAGUUUCGGCGGUGGGGGAUGGCCUCGCGGCUUAUCAGCUUGUUGGUGGGGUAGUGGCUUACCAAGGCUUUGACGGGUAGCCGGCCUGAGAGGGUGACCGGCCACAUUGGGACUGAGAUCGGGCCCAGACUCCUCCGGGAGGCAGCAGUGGGGAAUAUUGCACAAUGGGCGGAAGCCUGAUGCAGCAACGCCGGGUGCGGGAUGCCGGCCUUCGGGUUGUAACCGGCUUUGGCCUGUGAGGAAGCGUGUGUGACGGUAAUGGGUAAAGAAGCACCGGCUAACUACGUG
rnacentral:rRNA from 1 species